UUUCAAAUACAUGAUAAAACCAAAAUAAUAAUCGUACAAAAUGACAUAUUUGAGACAAAGCAAAAUGAGACUGAGGUAGCCAAAAGAAAAAAGUUCUCAGCAGUUCGAUUUCACAUCAUCAGUGUUGUAGUUUCCUAUUGCUGCAUAAUAACCCACUCCAAAAUUUAGUGACGGAAAACAAAGACCAUGUUUAUUUUGCUCACAAAUUUGCAAAUCGGGCGGGGCCGGGCAGGGACAGCUCAUCUCUGCCUGACUCAGUGUCACCCAAGGACUCCUCAAGGCUGGAAGCUGGAAUCAUCCGAAGGUCCCCUCACUCUCCUGGCUACUGGUUCGUGUUGGCCGGGACCUCCCGUGCAUCAGGACACCUGUAGGUGGCCUUUCCGUGUGGCAGCGUGCCCUCCUCACAGCACGGUGGCUACUUUCCAAAAGUGAGCAUCGCAACAUGUCCGGUUGGAGGUCUUUGAUGGCUUAGCCUUAGCCGUCACUGCGUGGCUAACGUCACAGUCAUGGGCUUGUGCGGAGGCACAGGGAGGGAGGAGUCCUGGUCUGAUUGUAGGAAAAACAGAAGGCUGGGAUGGCACAUUUCCACUGCAUUGCAGGUAUUUACACUCCUGCAUAGAAAGGGCUGACAUGGGAUGGAGAAAGUGAGCAGGAAAGACACAGCAGCAUGGGGUGAGGCUUCCUGAGGACCUGGCGGGCAAGGAGCUGCCCGUGAGGGAAGGCCGGGUGCUGCCAGCUGAGACACAGUAGUGAGGUCAUCUUCUUUAAGCUACCUGCCUGCUCUCUCAGAGCCAGCUUCCCCACCCAGAAAAUGGAAGACGUCACGACCUGGUCUCCCUGCCUCCUCCUUAGCCUCUGAUGCUUCCUUUCCUACACAUGAGCUGGAGUGAUUCUGUAAGACCUAAGUUAGCCCCUAACUUUGUUCUGCUCAAAACCUUCUAGUGGCUUCUCACGUCAUCCUGAAUCAACAUAAAGUCUUUAUUAACACUAAGUCCUGCAGGUUCCAGCAGCUCUCCCUCCCUCCGCCAACCUCCUCUCCCCAACAACCCCUUCUGCUGUAGCCACGCUGAGCAGCUCACUCUUGCACACAAAGACACCUGCCUCAGGGCCUUCACACUGGCUGUUUUAUUCCCGCUGCCUGGAAGAUCUCCCCCUACACCCUCCUCCCACACGUCCUUCCGACCUUGCUCAAAUGCCUCCUCCUUUGAGAGGCUGCCCCCAAUACCCCUCUCUCCACCAUCACUCUUUGUCCCCUGACCCUCUCAUUUGCCUUCCACUUGAUACAAUGUAUCUUUUUCCAUUUCCUGUUGGUUCUCUUCUAUUCUGUUCAUGGCUGGAUCUCUACACCUAGCCCAGCACCCGGCAUAUAGUAGCUGCUCAGUGAAUAUUGGUGAAGUGUGUGGAAUUAGUUUAAUCCCAUACCCCUCGGGAAGCCUCUGAAGAUGGAAUCUUGGAAGAAAUUCACUGGAAAUGGACAUUUCUCCAGGCUGUUGCACUUGAAGAGUGAUUUCCUGCUGGGAGAACCAGUCCCCCCACCACGUUUGCCACCAUCAGAACUGCCUGAGAGGGUGCCGAUAGUUUGCAAUGUCGUAUUGUAUACUUAAAAUUUGCUAAGAGGGUAGAUCUUAUGCUAAGCAUUUUUAUCGCAAAAUAACAAUAAUAAGUAAAGAGGGUGGGAGGAAGCUUCUGGAAGGGAUGGAUAUGUUUAUGGCAUAGACGAUGAUGGUUUCAUAUAUUUACGGCACAGAUGUGGUGGUUUCAUAUGUUUGUGGAAUAGACAGUGAUGGUUUCACCAUAGGUGGUAAUGAUUUCACAUAUUUAUGGCAUAAAAGGUGGUGGUUUCAUACGUUUAUGGCACAGAUGUUGAUGGUUUCACCAUAGGUGGUGAUGGUUUCAUACGUUUAUGGCAUAGAAGGUGGUUUCGCACCUGUGUACUUAUCUCCAGGCCAAACAAGUUGUAUCCAUUCACUAUGUAUGCCAGUUACACCUCAGUAGAAAUUUUGUAAUAAAUGAAUAGCCUGAGAGGAGCUGGGCCUUCUUCAUAUGGCCUCAUCAGGCCUGCUCUGAACCAUAACUCGGGCCUGCAACCCCCAGGUGCAAACCAGCCUCCACAGCUGAGCCUCUGAUUAGCCAGAUCGUUUGUCUUCUUCCAAAGGCAGCACUGCAGGGCUGGUUGAUCUUGAAUUUCUGACGCAUACAUUAAACAUCCUCUGCAACCUGCAGGCACUGAGUGGCUGUCCUAAGAGCCCUCUGCACUGCUAAUUUUAAAAAUGCUUUGAAAAGUAUUUUUCCUGAUGCAUUCCAAGGGCUAACAGCUUGCUUUCCUGUGAAGGCCCAGUGAGUGUCUGAAUCACCAUGGCAAACCUUACUUGAAUGUUUUGGAGAUUUCUGCUGAUCGUGACGGACUGGAUUUAGGGGGAAUCCAGCCAUGGUUUCCAGCCAUGUUGCUCAGAUGCUGGGAGGUGGAGAGAAUCCCGCUGAGGUUCUCACCUCCAUUCUCCAGGGCAUUUCUGAAAGCAGAGUUUCCGUCUCAUCGUUGAGCCAAGCAUCCCAUUAGAGCUCAGAAAUGACAUACGAAAACCAUAAAAACAGGCAUUGCCCUGUGAGGCGACAAUUCUGCUUUUAGGAAUUUAUCCUAAAGAAAUAACUAAUGAUGUGAUUAUAAAAGAAUUAGCUCCAAGGACAUUCAUCACAAGCCUGUUUAUAGAUUGAGAAACUGGAAACAAGCUAAAUGUCCAACAAAAAGGGGUUCGUUAAAUGUGGCACAACUGUGCAAUGGGAGACUAAUGACGACCUCAUGAAAUACCACAGCCUGGGGUCGAAGCUAGCCCACCUCCUGUUUUUGUAAAUAAAGUUUUAUUGGACAUAGCCACACCCAUUAAUUUACAUAUCAUCUGUGGCUGCUUCUGCACUAAAAUGGCAACAUUGAGAAGUUGCAGCAGACACCGUAUGGCCCACAAAGCCGAGUAUAUUUACUGUCUGGCACUUUACAGAAGAUGUUUGCAGACUCCUGCUAUUGGAUGACAAGGAAAAAUUCGUAAUGCCCUGCCCAGUAGGAAUAUGUUACAAAACUGUGCAAUUUUCAUAAUCCCAGUGGUGACUUAAAAGGACUGUGUAUAUACAUAUAUGUAUUUUUUUUCUUUGUGUCAUGGAAUUUUGAAUGAUUUGGAAGAGCAUACCUAUAUUUUCUAACUUUACCUGCUCCUGAACACAGCCUGAGGCAACUUACUUCCAUCCUGGUCUCAAUUCCUGCCAUGUCCAGUGCUUCCUGGGACGACUCUGGAUGGUGGUGGCCUCCAAGAUGCCCCCCGAGGCCUCUGCCUUAUGUGGCCCUCACUGAAUCACAGCUGAUCCAGGUGACCAGUAGAGUAGAAGGUGAUGCUGGGUGACGUCUGAGAUUGGGUCACAGAAAGACUUCCAGCCUCACUGUGGUCUCUCAGAAGCUCUGACUUAGGAGCUCUUCGCUGCCCUAUGGGAAAUCGGUUUCCUCAUGUCCACCAUGCUGGAGACACCCCAGGAGGGUCUAUGUGAAGAGACAGAAAUGCCAGCCCCAGCCACUCCAGGCACCUAGAAGACGCCUCUGACAACAUGGAGCAGAGAUGAGUCAUCCUCACAGAGCCCUAUCCAAACUGCAGACGCAUAAACAAAAUAAAUGGCUACUGCUGUUUUAAGCCAAUAAGUUUUGGAGCUGUUUGUUACACAGCAGUGGAUAACGAGAAACCCUGCCAGAUAACAAGCUGUCCUUGAAUCCCGAUCUCAGAGUCUGUUUCUAGGUAACCUCACCCAAGCCCUCUGUGAGCAUCUAAUGAGUCGUGCGUGCAGUAGCUGUCCUGGAACGCAUGCUAUCGUCGGUGACUAUUCAUGUCUCAAUGCUAACCUACCCCAAGAGCUUUACAGAGAUGUCCAACCACACUUUAACAGGAGCACUGCACAGCACCUGGCCAGGGGCCAAAGGGAGUAGGGACUCUGGCAAGCUGGAGGACAUGGGGGCAGUGGAGAAAGUGGCUCUCACCAAGCCUUCACAAGAUGCUGCAUAUUUUUCUUGGGCCAGAGUCACUAACCAAAAUGUAGCUGGAGGCACAUAGAAUUCACAUGCAAUGAUGCUUCGCACAAGGCCACAGCAAAUUGAAAUCACUUGGCAGCUGCACCCUGGGGCUCUGUGAUGGUGCCUGUCACCAAGAUCGUGGACUGAGGUCCAGCUCAGUCUGUACCCCACAGCAGCACCUCAUCUGUGGAAAGGGCUGCAGAUGUGGGGAGAAGAGGGCCUACCCUUUUAGAAGAGGCCAAAAAGUCAGAAUUUCAAGCUAGAGUGGAAAGACACACUGCAGGGGAGCUGCCAGGAAGAAGAGUGAUUUGAUUUCUUAACGGGAGACUCCAAAGGAGUCAGCCCGCGGAGACAAAAUCAAAAGAGGCCCGGACUUGGGAGCACAGCCUGGGAACGCAGGCGGGGGCCUCUGGGACUCUUCCAGCUCAGACCAGGCCUGUGUCUGGGGCUUCUGGGGGCAGCCUGGGAACUGGAAUUUUCUUGUUCCAUAAUGGACUUCUCGGACCCUGCAGGUGGCCUGCCCGGGAUGGCACUCCCUGUGGUAUCAGUGGCUCCUGUCACGGAGGGCACAUGCUGGCUCCAUGCUCAGGCUGUCCUGUAAAUCAUCUCACCGAAUCCCCACUGUGUCCUUACAGAGCAAGCACGCAUGCCUGUGUCCUCCAGAGAAGCAAGCCAGGCCCGAGGAAUGGGCGGCCGAUGGCUCCAGGAAGGUCACUGACUUUGGAGGGAACUUGGGAUCUCCUCCCCACUCUCUCUGUCCUCAAGGCCCAUCUUUUUAAAAUCAACUUUUUGGGAUGUAAUUGACAUAUAAUAAAACCAUCUUAGGUGUACAGCUUGAUGAAUUUUGUCCCACGUAUACAGCUGGGUAACGACAGGAAUCUGGACAUGAGGUUUGCGUGGGCAGCCAAGCUGGGGCCUCAGGAUGCCCUUCGUUCUGAACUUGGCUGCCAUGCCAGGGCCUCGGGAUGCCCUUCCUUCUGAACUUGGCUGCCUGGCCAUCUCACAGUUCCACUUUGUCAACUCUUUGAAGUCUGGGAGAAGUGACUCACCUGAAUUUUUUUUCUUUUCUACAUUCCCACCAUUGUCCCAUCUCCUUCCCUGCUUUGGACAAAGAUUUCUCUUUUCCACGUGAUGGGAGGGGGAUUGUAAACAUCCCAAGCUUUGGAAUCAAAAGACCUAGGCUCACACCGCAGCCCUGCUAUGUGACUCCGGGCACGUGACUUAACUUCUCUGGGCUCCUUUCUUCAUCUGUGUAAAACAGAGAUCAUAAUGGACCCUCUAAGGUCAUUGGGAGACUAAAAGGAGGUAUUAUAUGCAAACAAUAAAUAUUAUUAUUUUGAAUUGCACUGGCUUUAAUGACACAAAUGUGAAGAAAAGGGUAGGAUUGUAGGGGAAGCCUGGGAAAAGGAGAGAUUAAAAGACAAAAACAAUUUCAACUUUUCUGAAAA
rnacentral:lncRNA from 10 species